rnacentral:lncRNA from 1 species
GAAGGCGGCAGCUGAGAUUUGGAGAAGAAGGGGUGAGCGGCGGCUCGCUGGCGGCAGCGGGGGGUGGGGGUGACAAUAUUGUUUUUCCUUUUUUUAAUUUUAAUUUUUUUAAUUGAAAAAAGCUUCACAAAACGACGUCGUUUUGUAUGAUCGCCGGUAUGUCCACGUCUGCAAAUUCCGGGAGACACGUCAUCUAAGAUUUAAGGGAUGGUCAACGCAUGUGCAAAUUACAACAAAAUUAAAAGGUGGUGUAUUCUGAGGCCAUUUUUGAAGGUCAUGUGCAAUUUGCA